CAGUAGCCGCGGUAAUACGUAGGUGGCAAGCGUUGUCCGGAAUUAUUGGGCGUAAAGGGCUCGCAGGCGGUUUCUUAAGUCUGAUGUGAAAGCCCCCGGCUCAACCGGGGAGGGUCAUUGGAAACUGGGAAACUUGAGUGCAGAAGAGGAGAGUGGAAUUCCACGUGUAGCGGUGAAAUGCGUAGAGAUGUGGAGGAACACCAGUGGCGAAGGCGACCCUCUGGUCUGUAACUGACGCUGAGGAGCGAAAGCGUGGGGAGCGAACAGGAUUAGAUACCCCUGUAGUCCCUGUCUCUUAUAA
rnacentral:rRNA from 1 species